AUGCCCAAAUGGGAAGGGGAUGUCACAUCCAGGUUGAACCAAAACAUCUGUACAGCCCUGGGAAGGCACGACCUGAGGGUAUCUCUAAGACCCAGAGUCAGGUCUGACCUGGCAAAGUCACCACGAGCCAAUGCACUGACUGGCAAGACCCUCAUUAGGAUGGAAACACGUGAGCCUUGACAGCCCCAACAUCCCCCAAGGGGAACAAGAGACCAGUAGAGCAUCUAGUGCAGAUUAAAAUCAAGAAGCUGUAACUCUGGCAUCCACCACUGACAUUGAUGCAAAGCACUGCUACCAGCAAGAGCAAGUCACAGAAGCUCUAGGUUGGCUGUCACACCCGGAAGCCUUCUCCACCUCAGCUCCUGAAGCACUACAAGGAAACUUCUGGAUGACAUCUGGGGGGAAAGCAGUGGUCCAAGACAGUUCACUGCUUACCACAAAGCCUAAAAAGCCUGAGUUUCCAAAGCCCAGCACAGAAUGCCAAGGAAAGGCCCAGAAGCUCCAAGGGGACUCAAGUCACAGUCUCCAAUAUAGGAAGUGAAUCUACCAGUCACAUGACGCUGGGCUGUUCUCAUGGGAACGGUGAGUCAGAAAGGGGUUACUGACAGAGGCUGUUCCUUACUUACUUCUUCACUCUCCCCAUUCUAGAAUUUUCUGAUUAUCUGGAACUAAGGUUCAAGCUACCAAUAGAGCAACUUCACCCUUGCAGCCCUGCUGUUUUCCCGUCAGUGCUUUCCUGCUAACAGGCUAACCAGCACCAUGCAAACAGCCUCAGAACAAGCAAGUACUUCCCAAGCUUCAGCUUGGCCCAGGCUCUCACUGCCCUGCUCGGUCUCACCACUUCCUCCAUACUGCAAAAACAACACAAGCUAAAAAUUGCCAGCCAAGAUGUUCUCAAGGUGGGCAUCUCCCCUUCCUUCCAGCCGUGGGCUCCCAGACGACUCUAGACCCCUGUUCUGCAGUACUCUCUGUCUCAGCCUUGGCCCAUCAAGAAAGAGACUCCCUGCAAAUUGAUCCAUUGUACCUGAGAUCCCACAUGGAGACAGUCCACAUUCUAGAGGGACUUUCUGAUUGGGGGAAGGAUGAUCCUGUACAAUACGGAGACAGCUAUUGGCCCGCCUAAGUUUCAAGAUUCCGGUAAUGGAAAUCCUCCCAUGAUAGGAAGCCAACAGUGCAGAGAAGGACUUCCAACUUAGAGGGCAGAAUUUCUGCACCCUCAGAAGAAACUUCCUAGAAAACAAUAUGCCUUUUAUCUUCAAGAACACAGCAAAAAUCACAUCCAAGAAUUUGCAUGAAAUCAAACCAGGGAAAAGCCUGUUGGAGGAAGUGUUAGAAAAAGGGACAACCUUCAGAUCCAAACCUCCCCUCAAGAGACUAGUUCCAGUCAAUGCCUUCAAGGAUGCUCUAAGCCUGCUUCCAUUACAGCCUGCACAACCAGACAUUUCUCCCUUGCCCCCUCGGAACAAAGCCACCUCAGCAGCCACAGGGGACAACUGGAAAGGAGAGGGCCACAGAGGCCCAACUGGGCCAAUACUGGAGCCACCCUCACCAAGGCAUGACCUUCACUUGCCUUCUCAGAACCGCAGCCCUGCAACCACAGCCCCUCGCCUGUUUCUCCUCCUGUCCCCACCCAGGGAUGCACGCACAGGACACAAGUCCAUCAGGAAGGCAAUGCAGACGCCAGGCAGGUUCUGCACCACCAGCACCUUGGGCCUUUCACUGGCCAGGCUUCAAGUGGGGAGAAAAAGAAUGGAAAAAGAAUGCCUGCCUCCCAGAUUUGCUUCAUCUCUUCAGAAGGCCCUUCCUUCUCCUGCCUGACCUUUUCAAAACUACACAUUUCUACAGACAUUUCUACACAUUUCAUAUGUGAUUUUUUUUUAACUGAAAAGUGAGACGAGCUCAUUCUUUUGGACACCAAGGGUUAAAAUGCAAAGAGCACCAUGUUCUCGUUGGAGAACACUGGCACCGGAAUGUGCUUGUCCUCCACCACACAAAGCUCUGAGUGCUGGCUGGAUUAACUCUGGACAUUAAGAGGGGCGAUAGGGCAUCCAAAUAUUGCUCUUCACAGAAGAGUCAAGGUGGGAUGACUCCUGGCUCUCUACUUUGUCAUUCAAACUGUAUAUGACAUAUUAAACACCCCCAA